rnacentral:rRNA from 1 species
CUACGGGGCGCUCCAGUGAGGAAUCUUGCGCAAUGGGGGAAACCCUGACGCAGCGACGCCGCGUGGGUGAUGAAGGCCUUCGGGUCGUAAAGCCCUGUCGAGAGGGAAGAAUUGCAUUUAGGUUAAUAGCCUAAUUGUUUGACGGUACCUCCAAAGGAAGCACCGGCUAACUCCGUGCCAGCAGCCGCGGUAAUACGGAGGGUGCAAGCGUUGUUCGGAAUCACUGGGCGGAAAGGGCGUGUAGGCGGCUGAGGAAGUCAGGUGUGAAAUCCCUCGGCUCAACCGAGGAAGUGCAUUUGAUACUGCUCAUCGUGAGUACUGGAGAGGGAGAUGGAAUUCCCGGUGUAGAGGUGAAAUUCGUAGAUAUCGGGAGGAACACCAGUGGCGAAGGCGAUCUCCUGGACAGAUACUGACGCUAAGGCGCGAAAGCGUGGGGAGCAAACAGGAUUAGAUACCCGCGUAGUC